rnacentral:rRNA from 1 species
CCUACGGGAGGCAGCAGUGAGGAAUAUUGGUCAAUGGGCGCAAGCCUGAACCAGCCAAGUCGCGUGAAGGAGUACUGCCCUAUGGGUUGUAAACCUCUUUUGUCGGGGAGCAACAGCCGGACGUGUCCGGCUGUGAGGGUACCCGAAGAAAAAGCAUCGGCUAACUCCGUGCCAGCAGCCGCGGUACUACGGAGGAUGCGAGCGUUAUCGGGAUUUAUUGGGUUUAAAGGGUGCGCAGGCGGAUUUUUAAGUAAGCGGUAAAAUCGUGGGGCUCAACCCCAUCCAGCCGUUGAAACUGGGGAUCUAGAGUGUGAGAGAGGUAGGCGGAAUGCGUGGUGUAGCGGUGAAAUGCAUAGAUAUCACGCAGAACCCCGAUGGCGAAGGCAGCAUACUGAUGCACAACUGACGCUCAGGCACGAAAGCGUGGGUAUCGAACAGGAUUAGAUACCCCGGUAGUC